rnacentral:sRNA from 1 species
AUGUGCCCCCGUACUCCGGUUCCUCCGCGCCGUCCGCACCCACCUUACGGCUGCUCGCUACGUUUUUUAAGCC